rnacentral:rRNA from 1 species
CCUACGGGUGGCAGCAGUGGGGAAUAUUGCACAAUGGGGGAAACCCUGAUGCAGCGACGCCGCGUGAGUGAAGAAGUAUUUCGGUAUGUAAAGCUCUAUCAGCAGGGAAGAGAAUGACGGUACCUGAGUAAGAAGCCCCGGCUAACUACGUGCCAGCAGCCGCGGUAAUACGUAGGGGGCAAGCGUUAUCCGGAUUUACUGGGUGUAAAGGGAGCGUAGACGGCGAAGAAAGUCUGAAGUGAAAGCCCGCGGCUCAACCGCGGAACUGCUUUGGAAACUUUUUUGCUGGAGUGCAGGAGAGGUAAGUGGAAUUCCCGGUGUAGCGGUGGAAUGCGUAGAUAUCGGGAGGAACACCAGAGGCGAAGGCGACUUACUGGACUGUAACUGACGCUGAGGCUCGAAAGCGUGGGGAGCAAACAGGAUUAGAUACUCGAGUAGUC